GAUGAACGCUGGCGGCGUGCCUAAUACAUGCAAGUCGAGCGGACAGACGCUGAGCUUGCUCCUCUCACGUUAGCGGCGCACGGGUGAGUAACACGUGGAUCACCUACUUAUAAGACUGGGAUAACUUCGGGAAACCGGAGAUAAUACCGGAUAAUAUCUUGAUCCGCAGGGGUCGAUGGUGAGAGACGGUUUUGCGGUCACUUAUAGCUGGAUCCGGGCCGCAUUAGCUAGUUGGUAAGGUAACGGCUUACCACGGCAACGAUGCGUAGCCGACCUGUGAGGCGGAUCGGCGGCCCUAGAGCGUAGACAGGGUCAAGGCUACUACGAGACGCAGCAGUAGGCAAUCUGCCGCAAUAGGCGAAAGCCUGACGGAGCAACGGCGCGUGAGUGAUAACGGCGUUCGGAUCGUAAUACUCGGUUAUUAGUGAAAAACAGCUGUGUACGUAACUAUGGACGGCUUGACGGUACUUGAUCAGAAAGCCACGGCUAACUACGUG
rnacentral:rRNA from 1 species